UGAGACACGGUCCAGACUCCUACGGGAGGCAGCAGUAGGGGAAUCUUCCGCAAUGGGCGAAAGCCUGACGGAGCAACGCCGCGUGAGUGAUGAAGGUCUUCGGAUCGUAAAACUCUGUUAUUAGGGAAGAACAUAUGUGUAAGUAACUGUGCACAUCUUGACGGUACCUAAUCAGAAAGCCACGGCUAACUACGUGCCAGCAGCCGCGGUAAUACGUAGGUGGCAAGCGUUAUCCGGAAUUAUUGGGCGUAAAGCGCGCGUAGGCGGUUUUUUAAGUCUGAUGUGAAAGCCCACGGCUCAACCGUGGAGGGUCAUUGGAAACUGGAAAACUUGAGUGCAGAAGAGGAAAGUGGAAUUCCAUGUGUAGCGGUGAAAUGCGCAGAGAUAUGGAGGAACACCAGUGGCGAAGGCGACUUUCUGGUCUGUAACUGACGCUGAUGUGCGAAAGCGUGGGGAUCAAACAGGAUUAGAUACCCUGGUAGUCCACGCCGUAAACGAUG
rnacentral:rRNA from 1 species